rnacentral:rRNA from 1 species
CGUAGGGAACCGUGCCCAUGCGGCCGGGGACAACUUCCGGAAACGGAUGCUGAUACCGGAUAAGGAAAGCGAAGGCAUCUUUGCUUUGUUAAAGGAGCUGCAAGGCUCCGCGCAUGGAUGGACCUGCGGUGCAUUAGCUGGUUGGUGAGGUAAAGGCUCACCAAGGCGACGAUGCAUAGCCGGCCUGAGAGGGCGAACGGCCACACUGGGACUGAGACACGGCCCAGACUCCUACGGGAGGCAGCAG